rnacentral:rRNA from 1 species
UGGGGAAUUUUGGACAAUGGGCGAAAGCCUGAUCCAGCAAUGCCGCGUGUGUGAAGAAGGCCUUCGGGUUGUAAAGCACUUUUGUCCGGAAAGAAAUCCUUGGCUCUAAUACAGUCGGGGGAUGACGGUACCGGAAGAAUAAGCACCGGCUAACUACGUGCCAGCAGCCGCGGUAAUACGUAGGGUGCAAGCGUUAAUCGGAAUUACUGGGCGUAAAGCGUGCGCAGGCGGUUUGCUAAGACCGAUGUGAAAUCCCCGGGCUCAACCUGGGAACUGCAUUGGUGACUGGCAGGCUAGAGUAUGGCAGAGGGGGGUAGAAUUCCACGUGUAGCAGUGAAAUGCGUAGAGAUGUGGAGAAUACCGAUGGCGAAGCAGCCCCCUGGCCAAUACUGACGCUCAUGCACGAAAGCGUGGGGAGCAAACAGGAUUAGAUACCCUGGUAGUACACGCCCUAAAACGAUGUCAACUAGUUGUUGGGGAUUCAUUUCCUUAGUAACGUAGCUAACGCGUGAAGUUGACCGCCUGGGGAGUACGGUCGCAAGAUUAAAACUCAAAUGAAUUGACGGGGUCAUAGCUGUUUCCU